GACGAACGCUGGCGGCGUGCUUAACACAUGCAAGUCGAACGGAAAGGCCCCUUUGGGGGUACUCGAGUGGCGAACGGGUGAGUAACACGUGAGUAACCUGCCCUUGACUUCGGGAUAACUUCAGGAAACUGGGGCUAAUACCGGAUAGGAAUCCUUGCUGCAUGGUGGGGGUUGGAAAGCUUCGGCGGUUUUGGAUGGACUCGCGGCUUAUCAGCUUGUUGGUGGGGUAGUGGCUUACCAAGGCUUUGACGGGUAGCCGGCCUGAGAGGGCGACCGGCCACAUUGGGACUGAGAUACGGCCCAGACUCCUACGGGAGGCAGCAGUGGGGAAUAUUGCACAAUGGGCGGAAGCCUGAUGCAGCAACGCCGCGUGCGGGAUGACGGCCUGCGGGUUGUAAACCGCUUUCAGCAGGGGCGAAGCUUUUGUGACGGUACCUGCAGAAGAAGCACCGGCUAACUACGUG
rnacentral:rRNA from 1 species